ACCCUUUUCUGGUUCAUAAUCAUGAUGAUUGGGUGCUCACAAGCUGUGUGGCAUGUGCCUCCCUUAAAUCUUGUUAUUCAUUUGGCACAUUAUCCAUCUGACA